GUGUGAAUGACCAUUGUGAAUCGGCCUUUGUUUAUCGACGAAACCAAGGAAACAAAUUUCAGAUUCAGUGUUCCUCAGCCUCACCUCCGUCAAGAUCCUGGACCCAAGAAUCGUUUGUUACAGUAUCUACUUCUUACACUGUGGGCUUUCUGCCAACAUUGCUACGCUAUCCUUCACUCUGUGGUUACAGUAGUACUCUCUGAAUUGUGACAAUGGGAAGUUUUCUUCUGGACCUGCCUGCACACUGUAGGAUUUAGAGUGAUGGGAGAUAGAGAAGAGUCAUCAGAAAGAACGCUCCUCAUAAAACACAGACGGGGGAAUGAGAGAUGGCAAGGGUGAAGACAUUGAUUUACAUUCUGGGCUUCUGCCAGUGCGAGUUAGAAGACAUCGCUGUGGUAAACCUCACUUUGCACAUCUGCUAGGUAGCACAGGCGUUUGAAUAGCAAAGAUCCAUCCCUAGCAUUGAGAAUGUUCUUCAAAUUUGUUGGGAAAUCAGCACAUCACUACGGGCCUGAAAGGGUCAUCAUGAUGCCCAAUCCAGGAAAACUGUCCUAUCAAAUGAAUACAUGAGUUUCCCUUCUCUAUUACCCUGUCACUGGCCCAGCACUACUCCACGGUGAUAUAAUGGGAGUUAGGUGUGGUGGUGGUUCAGACAAAUCGUCAGAGUAUGGAGAUUUCAGUGCUGUAUAUCGGUCACACCACCAACGUGAUUUCCAGUCAUCUCUAACUUCUCACAUCUGUACUUGAAUCACGUACACAAAUCUACUACUGGUGGUGUCACAUCAGCUAGUGAUAUAUGGGAUGCUUAAGAAAACAGAACUCCUACUGAAGGCUCAGUGUGUGUGUGUGUGUGUGUGUGUGUGUGUGUGUGUGUGUGUGUGUGUUUCUAUGUGCUGUAGUGGGAGAGGAGAGGAUAAUGUUAGGCUAACUGGGAAAGAAGAUUAGACUUCCAUGCAGAAGCGUGUAACCCCUUCAGUCAAAAUUGCACCUGCCAGGAAAACCACAAAGAGCCCAUGAAAAGAAACUCAGUCUUUUCCAGUCAGUUCUCAUCACUCAACCUAUUCUAGCACACAUGAAGAAAACCAUCUCUGCCUUGAUCUGAACCUCAGUAUAUCACCUUUGUAAUUCUCCUCUUGCUUGUUUGAGACGGUUGAUAUCCAACUACUCAUUGUUCUUUCUAUUGAACUCAUAAAAACAUCUCUAUUCGCUGAAAACUAAAACUGACAUCUAAAACUAUUUCCUC
ensembl:lncRNA